UACGAAGGGGGCUAGCGUUGCUCGGAAUUACUGGGCGUAAAGGGCGCGUAGGCGGUCUUUUAAGUCGGGGGUGAAAUCCUGGAGCUCAACUCCAGAACUGCCUUCGAUACUGGAAGACUUGAGUCCGGGAGAGGUGAGUGGAACUGCGAGUGUAGAGGUGAAAUUCGUAGAUAUUCGCAAGAACACCAGUGGCGAAGGCGGCUCACUGGCCCGGUACUGACGCUGAGGUGCGAAAGCGUGGGGAGCAGACAGG
rnacentral:rRNA from 1 species